ACGGAAGGCAGCAGUGGGGAAUAUUGCACAAUGGGGGGAACCCUGAUGCAGCGAUGCCGCGUGGAGGAAGAAGGUUUUCGGAUUGUAAACUCCUGUCUUAAGGGACGAUAAUGACGGUACCUUAGGAGGAAGCUCCGGCUAACUACGUGCCAGCAGCCGCGGUAAUACGUAGGGAGCGAGCGUUGUCCGGAAUUACUGGGCGUAAAGGGAGCGCAGGCGGAGAUGCAAGCAGUCUGUACAAUACCGGGGCCCAACCCCGGACCUGCAGACUGGACUGUUUCUCUUGGAUAGUUCAGGGGCAAGCGGAAUUCCUGGUGUAGCGGUGGAAUGCGUAGAGAUCAGGAAGAACACCGGUGGCGAAGGCAGCUUGCUGGGGACUUAUCGACGCUCAUGCUCGAAAGUGCGGGUAGCAAACAGGAUUAGAUACCCUGGUA
rnacentral:rRNA from 1 species